CUCCUGCAACGCUUCCCAACCCCCCCUACCCUCUGCCAGCCUGAGGUACCAGCCCCUCCUGCACCGCUUCCCAACCCCCCCUGCCCCCUGCCAGCCUGAGGUACCAGCCCCUCCUGCACCGCUUCCCAACCCCCCCUGCCCCCUGCCAGCCUGAGGUACCAGCCCCUCCUGCACCGCUUCCCAACCCCCCCUGCCCCCUGCCAGCCUGAGGUACCAGCCCCUCCUGCACCGCUUCCCAACCCCCCCUACCCUCUCCCAGCCUCAGGUACCAGCCCCUCCUGCAACGCUUCCCAACCCCCCCUACCCUCUGCCAGCCUGAGGUACCAGCCCCUCCUGCACCGCUUCCCAACCCCCCCUGCCCCCUGCCAGCCUGAGGUACCAGCCCCUCCUGCACCGCUUCCCAACCCCCCCUACCCUCUGCCAGCCUGAGGUACCAGCCCCUCCUGCACCGCUUCCCAACCCCCCCUGCCCCCUGCCAGCCUGAGGUACCAGCCCCUCCUGCACCGCUUCCCAACCCCCCCUGCCCCCUGCCAGCCUGAGGUACCAGCCCCUCCUGCACCGCUUCCCAACCCCCCCUGCCC